UUAGCGGCGGACGGGUGAGUAACACGUGGAUAACCUACCUAUAAGACUGGGAUAACUUCGGGAAACCGGAGCUAAUACCGGAUAAUAUUUUGAACCGCAUGGUUCAAAAGUAAAAGACGGUCUUGCUGUCACUUAUAGAUGGAUCCGCGCUGCAUUAGCUAGUUGGUAAGGUAACGGCUUACCAAGGCAACGAUGCAUAGCCGACCUGAGAGGGUGAUCGGCCACACUGGAACUGAGACACGGUCCAGACUCCUACGGGAGGCAGCAGUAGGGAAUCUUCCGCAAUGGGCGAAAGCCUGACGGAGCAACGCCGCGUGAGUGAUGAAGGUCUUCGGAUCGUAAAACUCUGUUAUUAGGGAAGAACAUAUGUGUAAGUAACUGUGCACAUCUUGACGGUACCUAAUCAGAAAGCCACGGCUAACUACGUGCCAGCAGCCGCGGUAAUACGUAGGUGGCAAGCGUUAUCCGGAAUUAUUGGGCGUAAAGCGCGCGUAGGCGGUUUUUUAAGUCUGAUGUGAAAGCCCACGGCUCAACCGUGGAGGGUCAUUGGAAACUGGAAAACUUGAGUGCAGAAGAGGAAAGUGGAAUUCCAUGUGUAGCGGUGAAAUGCGCAGAGAUAUGGAGGAACACCAGUGGCGAAGGCGACUUUCUGGUCUGUAACUGACGCUGAUGUGCGAAAGCGUGGGGAUCAAACAGGAUUAGAUACCCUGGUAGUCCACGCCGUAAACGAUGAGUGCUAAGUGUUAGGGGGUUUCCGCCCCUUAGUGCUGCAGCUAACGCAUUAAGCACUCCGCCUGGGGAGUACGACCGCAAGGUGAAACUCAAAGGAAUUGACGGA
rnacentral:rRNA from 1 species